UAUACAUUUUAUUACCCAAUCUGCUCCCGACAUUAAAUAAAACUCCAAAAAUUGGAAUCUGGCCCUCAAACCCCACAACAGGACUUAAUUAACUUCACCUUCAAGGUGUACAAUAACAGAAAAAAGUUGCAAUUCCUUGCCUCCACUGUGAGACAAACCCCAGCCACAUCUCCAGCACACAAGAACUUCCAAACGCCUGAACCGCAGCGGCCAGGUGUUCCUCCAGAACCUCCUCCCACAGGAGCUUGCUACACGUGCCGGAAAUCUGGCCACUGGGCCAAGGAAUGCCCGCAGCCCGGGAUUCCUCCUAAGCCGCGUCCCAUCUGUGUGGGACCCCACUGAAAAUCGGACUGUUCAACUCUCCUGGCAGCCACUGCCAGAGCCCCUGGAACUCUGGCCCAAGGCUCUCUGACUGACUCCUUCCCAGAUCUUCUCGGCUUAGCGGCUGAAGACUGACACUGCCCGAUCGCCUCGGAAGCCCCCUAGACCAUCACGGACGCCGAGCUUCGGUAACUCUCACAGUGGAAGAGACCUUGAAGAUUUGUUGUUCAAGGAGAAACUGAAGAGCAAGAAGGAAAGUGAGAGCCAGCAAUACCAGCAGAGCCAGAUCUGAGCUGGGAGAAGGGGAGAAAGUUUGUGAAGAGGAGAUCGGUGACCUGGGCUCCUUAUGUGCCUGAAAGAGUUUGAGUUUCCUGUUAACUCCAAAUCAACAGUAUUUUCAACAAGAAAUGUGCAAUUGAAAUCAAGUGCUGUUUAAGUGCAGCUAGGAUUUCCACAGGAAGACACUUGCAGUGAACAGAGUUAUGGAGCAGCAAAAACACAGAUCUAUUUGGAAAAAGAGAAAACAUAUGCGUUGUAUUUUGCUUCAAUUAUAAAAUACCAUCCUCUCAAAGGUGGUUCUAAAUUACAAAGGACUUUGAUUUCUAGGUAGAUUCUGGGUAGAGACUUCCUUUCAUAUUGAGGCAUUAAUGACACCUUUUAACCUGGGAAGCAAUAUGACUGGAGUUGUACUUUGAGAAGAUUAAUCAGGUUUGGUUGCAGAAUGAAAGAGAAGAUGAAGUCAAGAGAUUGGUUUAGAGGCUCUAGCAGAAGCUUAGUCAUAUUUCAAAAUGAUCAAAUAUCAAGAAAAAUUCUGAGCUGCAUAACUUGUAUAAAGUAAUUUUCAGUGAUUUUUUUCAUGGUUAUGAUAAAAGAACUGGAUUAGCAGAAACUUUUACCCUGAAUCAAGAUUUAAUUUUUCUUUGAGCUCAUCUUAAGGAUAUCGGAACAUAGGGAGCAAACGAUGGUGUGGCUGCCUCAGUGCUUGAUUUUUAACGGUUUUGAAGAGAAUAGUUACAUUUCUUCUCCUAGUAAGAACUAAUAAAUACAUUAACAGAAAUGAAUUCCCUAUCCCUUUGUACACUGGUCUAUUUCUUCAAAACAUUAAAUACUAUUGAUAAGAUA
ensembl:lncRNA LINC02582 long intergenic non-protein coding RNA 2582